GGUAGGGAAUCGUGGCAGAAUUCGCGGAUCCGUCGGGCACAAGGUAUGUAUGCGGGAUUUUCGUUUUGUUUUCUCCUCUCUUUUGUUUGGUUUAUACAGAGGUUAACAUAAAAAGGGUACUAAGCAAAAUAAAAUUAUAUAUUCUGAUGAUUUAUUUUAUAAGUUUGGGAUUAAGGAGAAGAUGAGAUAUGUAAAAUAACCAAGGCGAAGGCAAGAGAUAAGAUAUCUAGUGAUUUUAAUUAAGUUAGAUGGAUUAGAUAAUAUAAAAUAGGUAAAUACAACAUCAAUGAAAGAUGAAAAUAUUAUUUUUAAAAAUUAUUAAGUGGGAUUUUUGAGUAAAAUAUUUUGACAGAGCAUAAUUAAAAUAAUAAAUAUAUUGAUUAAAAAAAGGAGUUGUGUUAACUUUGAAGAGGAUGCAUAAUGAUAAAAUUUAGAUUCAUAUAAAAUAUCUAUUGAUAAAGCAUUCAUGUUUGACCACAACUGAGAAAAAAAUUCAUGUAGCUGACCCCACAUUGUGAGAUAAAGGCUUGAUAUUGUUGUUGAUAAAUAUGUAUUGAGAUUUGGAGAGUUGUGGAUUUUGCAAUGUUUUAAUCAACAAAUUCUUUCAAUGGAAAUUUGAAUAUUAAGAGAAUGCUAAAUGAUUGAAGAAGUAUUUUAGUACCAAUAUUUAAGUAUAAAAAGAGAUGUGUUGGGGAGAUGAGGAGUAAAGACCACAAUGACGAAACUAGCAAGAAAGUAAAAGCACCAAAAAAGUAAAGGACACCAGGAUUUAACAUGGAAAAACCCAAAAUAGAGAAAAAAACUACGAAGUCACACCAUACCAAGAAAUCCACUAUGCAAAUUGGGAGAAAUAAGUACAUAUAUCUCUUCUCUAUCGCUCUCUCCUUACUUCUCUUCUCACAUACACCGUUUUCAAUGUCUACAUACACAAAAUACAAGAGAAAGCCAUGUAAAAUAUCCCCAAGGGAUGUAACCCUUCAGAAAAAUGAGAAAGAAAACCGCCCAGUCCGUCUCGCAGUGCUGCGGCGCUCAAGCCUCUGUCUUGCAUCGUUGCAGCGUCGUAUCUAUACCGCCGCUGUGUCGUAACUAUACUGUUGUGGUGCUCUGCUCUUUAUUGUUCAGUGUCGAGAGCUCGGGUAUGCAUCGUUGAGGCGUUGUACGAAAAAAGAAAAUUCGGGUGCAAAGUACUAGAACCCAAGCAGGGGAUAAAUCCUUCGCACCCCCCAGCGAACACGAAAAGCUUUGAGAUUCGAGACAACAUAAUAAUCAGAUUGAUCAAUACAAUCAGAUUCCACAUAACAAGAUGUCCAUAAUUGGGUUAACCAUAGAUAAAUUAAAUUUAUGAGUCAUAGUUACAAGGGAAGAGUAAAGGAAUAUAGAAAAAUUUUAGCACCCUUGAAGAAUUAAUUUAUUUUAUACUGCAAUGAUUAUUUAUGAUGGAUGUUCAAAAUAGGUUCUUUGGUGUAUACUUUUCUCAAAUAACAUAGUCCCAAUCAAUAAGAGAUCUGCUGGUAUAAGUGGACAUUAUAAUAUUAGCGAAAGUAUUUAGAAGACAAAGUGCACAGAAUUAGUAGGAUAGAAAUUGAGUGUAUUAUAUGCAAUUGUAAUGGAUGUGAUGUGAUAUUACUAGCUAUAAGUCAAAAUUAUUAAAACAUAAAGCAAUACUUACAUGUGAUAAUUUUAGGUAUUUUAGAUUUAUUAUAUAAAAGAGUGAGAAUAUAAAUGAUAACAUAACUCUUUGAUUCAAUCCUGAUUAGUAAGCAUGGAUAAGUGUCUAAUGAGUAUAUUAUGAAAUAAGAGAAUAUUAUGGAGAAUUUAACAUAAAUUUUAGAAAUUUAUAAUUAAACCGAAUAUAUUAUUUGGAUCACAGUGCUUAACAGUAAAAAAAAUCAUCAUCAACUAGUUUGAGUGAGAUGAUAAAAUGAAUGUGUGAUAAAAUUAUGAGGGUUAACUAGGAAUGGUUCUAGUGACUUAUAAUGAAUAUAAGAUAUUUUGUAAGGGCCUUAGUUGAUUUGGACUUAUACAUUGAAGGAAAAUGCUCACAUUAGACUUGUAGAUAAAAUUAUUGUUGGAGGAAUGGGUAAACUUAAGGUAAUAUGGAUAGAAGUGAUUCAAAGUACUUUAUGGGGAGUUUGACAUCUCAAGCAACGCCUAACAAAAAUGAAUUUAAAGUGAUGGUUUCUUAAUCCAAUCCCUAAUAAUUUGUAUAAGGCCUUAUGAUGAUUAUUAUGAUAAUGACGAUGAUGAUGAUUCAUCAAUAAAAUUGUUAUAUGUUCAUGACAAAAACAUGCAUUCACUUGCAUUAAUAUAAGUGAUUCUUGACAGUGAGUGUAUGGUGAUAAUUCUGAAGACUGAAAUAGAUUAAUUUCUUGUUCUAUAGUUCUAUUCUAUUUUUGCAAUAAUCUUGAAUGUUUUAAUUGAUACAUAAGUUUAUUUUCCCAUGUUUUUGUGUUCAGCUGUUAAUGAGUUUGUCUAGAAAACAUGGCAAACUAACCUAUAUUGCUCGAGAUGUUGAGCAAUAAAUAUGUUAAAAUUGAGGAGGAAAAAAGUGAGCACUAACUAGAGUUGAUCAUUUCUUCAAGUAAAUGGCACAUCACAUAAGAAAUUAAACAACAUCCAGUACAAAAUCAAAAUGAAGUAAACCUGUUCGCCUUGUUGUUUCAUACUUCAUUAUUAUUAUUGUACAAUGCAAUUAGGAAUCAAUUAUGUUUUCUCUUUUAUAUUCUCAUAUUUUCUUUAGAUGUUAAAUUCUUAAGUGUUGCUGCUAAUGAUCAGAAUUCCUGAAAUUCUUAGAUAUGCAUGAAGCUUACCACAACUUAUGAUAAGACCUAACACGAUUCAUAUACUCAGCAUGUUGAUUUGUAUCUGGAUUCAUCAUUCUUUCAUCCACUGGUGUUACCUCAAUGUUUCAUAAGGCUAUAUCUCUUACAUUUAUAUAUCAAAUGUUUAAUCAUUUUGAUGGCUAUAUUUGUUUCUGUAUCAUGUAAUUGAGGGAUUUCUGCUGAGUUUUGACAUAUUUUUUCUUAUACUUAAAAAAUUUAUAUACAAUUGACAUUCUUUGGGAUGUUUAAUAUUUUUCCCUUAAACUGUAAGCUAUUUUCUGUAUUUUAUUUAAUUGGAAAUUGCAUCAUUCGUUAUGAAGGCUUAAAUUGAAAAUCAGUCAUUAACUUUAUGUUUAUAUUUUUUAUCCCCCUCCAUUUAAAGCUAGAUAUUUUUUGAAAUAUUGAUUAAAUGGCAAACGUAAUUAGUAAUAAGCUUUCAUGUGUUAAGUUAAAACAUCUAAUAUGAUCUGUUGCAGAUUGAAUGUUAGAUAUAAUUUCGGACAUGUGCGGAUUGAUUGGUUAAAUUAUCUGGUUUGUUCGAGAACAUUGAUUGAAUGGCUUAUGUAGAACCAACCAUGAAAAGGCAUUUAUUUUGUGGGUUUAAAUUGCUCCACGACUUGAGAAGAGCAGAUAUCUUGCAGAAACCAAGAUAUCUAAAGGUAUAGUGAGGGCAGUUAUCAAGCAGUCAUGGCACAGUCCCCACAAUGCAUAAUGUUAUUGAUAUGCAGUUUUAGCAAGGAUUUUGAUUGCCCGUCUUGGUGGCAAUUAUAUUUAUGAUAGAUAAUCACCUCAUUUUUCUUAGAGAUAUCCCGGCCUUCUUAUUUAAUUGUGCAUGAAUAUACUUUGCAUUUUCGGAACAUCAAUGAGUGUUUUUUAAAUUUAUUCAGUAUUAUUUUUACUUCUA